rnacentral:tRNA from 1 species
GCCACUGUAGCUCAGCAGGUAGAGCAGCUGAUUCGUAAUCAGCAGGUCGGGGGUUCAAAUCCCUCCAGUGGCU